rnacentral:rRNA from 1 species
GAUGAACGCUGGCGGCGUGCCUAAUACAUGCAAGUCGAGCGAACAGACGAGGAGCUUGCUCCUUUGACGUUAGCGGCGGACGGGUGAGUAACACGUACGUAACAUACCUAUAAGACUGGGAUAACUUCGGGAACCCGGAGCUAUUCCCGGAUAAUAUUUCGAACCGCAUGGUUCGAUAUUGAAAGAUAGCUUUGCUAUCACUUAUAGAUGUACCUGCGCCGUAUUAGCUAGUUGGUAAGGUAAAGGCUUACCAAGGCAACGAUACGUAGCCGACCUGAGAGGGUGAUCGGCCACACUGGAACUGAGACACGGUACAGACUCCUACGGGAGGCAGCAGUAGGGAAUCUUCCGCAAUGGGCGAAAGCCUGACGGAGCAACGCCGCGUGAGUGAUGAAGGUCUUCGGAUCGUAAAACUCUGUUAUGAGGGAAGAACAAACGUGUAAGUAACUGUGCACGUCUUGACGGUACCUAAUCAGAAAGCCACGGCUAACUACGUG